rnacentral:misc_RNA from 1 species
GUCCUCUCCAUUCGAAACGAUGCAGAUGGCCGAAGCCAUGGCACCUAAAUCAUCGAGGAAGGUCAAGCCGUCGCCAAGACCCCAGGCUUCUGCCGCCAAAUUUUUGAAAAAUCCAAAAGUAGCCUUCGCUUUGGCUUUAAUUUUCAUGGAUGCCCUCCUUGUCGCUCUCAUCAUCGCCUACGUUCCUUAUACAAAGAUUGAUUGGGACGCUUACAUGUCACAGGUGCAUUAUGCAAGGCCACAAGAGAUCUUAAAGUUUUGCAUUUCUGGUUAUGGUUGGAUUUGUGUUAUUUUUUUUCUAGCGUAGCAAGUAAAGUUUCAAAAUUUCUCCUCCUGUCAUUAGUUUCCCACUCAUCAAACUCACCAUUAACUAAUUUUACUUCCUGGGUAGCUUUAAUUCUCGGUUUAAAUGAACGGGGUAAUAUGAAUUGGCUUGAUUAACGAGCAGGUAGCUGGGUUUCUUGAAGGAGAAAGGGACUACAGCAACUUGAAAGGUGAUACUGGGCCGCUGGUAUACCCAGCUGGGUUUCUUUAUGUUUACUCAGCCAUUCAGUAUGUCACAGGAGGGGAUGUGUAUCCAGCUCAGAUAUUGUUUGGCAUUUUAUACAUCAUUAAUCUGGGUAUCAUCUUAUUCAUCUAUGUGAAGACUGAUGAGCUUCCAUGGUGGGCUCUUGUCUUGCUUUGUCUCUCAAAAAGAGUGCACUCAAUCUUUGUGCUGCGUCUCUUUAAUGACUGUUUUGCAAUGACUUUUCUCCAUGCUGCAUUGGCCUUACUUCUUUGCCAACAGUGGUAUCUGGGGCUGAUUCUUUUCAGUGGGGCUGUUUCAAUAAAGAUGAAUGUCCUUCUCUAUGCUCCACCUUUAUCGCUUCUUAUGUUAAAGGCCAUGGAUGUUACAGGAGUGAUAUUGGCUUUAUCUGGUGCAGCACUAGUGCAGGUGCUUAUCAUUUUUGUUCCUCUGAGACUGCUUUGUCCAUGUAGGCAGAGAAUGCAUGUUAAAUUCAUAUGUAUAAAAUUGUAAUUUUUGUCACAAAAUUAGUAGAUUGUUUUUAGUGUCAAUUGUCAAAAGCAGGAUAGCAAUAUCUUUUAAUUUCUUUUCCAAUUCUGUUAGGUGAGUUGGAAUAAUAUUGCAAUUAAUGUAGUGAAGCAAGCAUUGGCUUAGCAAUAGUUCAUUCAUUUCCACAUGCUUGGUGGACGGUUCUGCAGAUUCUAUUGGGGCUCCCCUUUUUAGUCUCCAAUCCAAUUGCAUAUAUAUCAAGAGCAUUCAACCUUGGGCGUGUCUUCAUCCACUUUUGGUACUUCUCAUUUGACUCUAUGGUGCAAAAGAUUCUUCAAUACCUUAUCUUGACAUAAAUUAGUCUGAUCAUUUAGUUAUAAGUAAACAGAAAAAACUGAGUUUCCUUUUUUUAAUGAAUGGAAAAUACUAGAUCAUUUUUCUGAAAAAAUAUGAGACUGUCUGCAUGUGCUUCAUUUUGAACACUUCACUUCACAUGUGGCUGAUGGAGUUCAUCUUUCCUCAAGGUUGAUUUUGAAUAAAUGCUUAAGGAUCCUGCCUUCUUGAAUUAUUUACUUCAAAGGAAAUGAAUUUGAUGUUAUCUAGCCAGGAGAAAAUGGGAGGGAAUCUGUCUGAUUACAAGAUCCUGUAUCCUCCUAUAGAGAAGCCAUAUUUGGAUCUCUUCUCUAGGUAGUCAUGUGAAGAUGCAUGUUUGUUUGUGUGUCCUUUUUAGACAGUCAGCUUGGUUUGGUGCACAUAUUAUUGUUUUGUAUUAACACACAAUUGGGGGAGAAAAGAGAGAAUGUGGAGCAGGAGGUGUUCAUGCUGCUGCAGUAUUAGAAAUUAGGACUGCUCAGUGGCAGCUAAUAAUCAAUCAAGGAAAUGAGUCUGUAGCAUACUAACGGCGCCUGGCUGGCAUUGAUCUCAUUCUCUGAUGAUGCUGUGGGAAGUCCUCUUCAAGUUAUGAAAGUCUAUAAUUGUAUUGAUAAAUUUAUGACUGUAUGUUUUGUCAUCUCAUUUAUCUUGUUUCCAGGAUACAUUGUAGCCCAACUUAUGCAGUUAGGGUAGUUGUUUGAACAUGCAGUGGUGCUUUAAUUUUCUUUAUCAGUUAAUGCUUUUGUGCAAUAUCCUCUUUGAUCAGUGCAAUGAGCUCUUGUGGAAAUGUAAUUUUUCAUUGUUUCCCAUCAGGUCUGUUAACUUCAAGUUCAUUCCUGAACCAGUUUUUGUAUCAAAUCAAUUUGCAGUCUCAUUGCUGCUUACUCACCUUGGAUUGCUUGCUGCUUUUGCCCAUUAUAGAUGGUGCAAGUAAGUGGCUUGUUCCUUCAGUUGUAAUUGUUACUAGUAAUUCAUAGCAGCAAACAGGUAGUGAAUUAAAGAAAUUUGUGGCAUUUUUCCAAUGCUGGUAAAAUAUUUGAUGAGGAGCUACAAAGAUAACAAAGUUUGGUGCUACUUUUGUUUGUGCUUUGUUUUACUUAAAAAUCUAUCCCAUGUGUCAUAUGAAUGGAAUACACUUUGUCACUGCCAACUUCUAUUCUAGCUUUUGUCCAAUGUAGGAAAUGUCUUCCAACUAAGGUUGGUCUUUGGAACCUUGUCAGCUGGAUUUUGUCUGCUUGAUCUAAAACCUAUUGUUACACAUCAUUCACAGCAAGUCCAUCCUUUUGUUAUUAUGUUUACGCAGCUGUACAAAAUUCUAUACAAAUUAAUUGUGCUGGAAGUCUACAUACAGCUCUUAGAGUUUUGCUGAGAAGUGCUAUGCAAGUAUGCUCUAUGUCAGCCACUGUCUUGACCAUUCUUAUCAUCGAUACUAUUGUCCAUUUUGAACAAUAUGAGAAAAUGAUUUUCUCUAGUUGAUGCAGUAGAUGCGGACUUGGUGUCGAACAGAGUUGAAUGGUGAAAAGGGAUCCAUAUAACUGACCCCAACUAGUUGGGAUUAAGACAUGAAGGAGGACUUUUUAAUUUUUUACAUUCCAAGGCCGUAUCUAUUAAGCAGCCAUCUGCUCUUUCAAGUUCUAUUGGUUUGUCCUUUAAGACUCUCAAGGAAGAACAUAUUAUGACAAUGAUGUUUUCCGGGAACUUUAUUGGCAUUUUUUGUGCCCGCUCACUACAUUAUCAGUUCUAUUCAUGGUACUUCUAUAGCUUACCAUAUCUUUUGUGGAGAACUCCUUUCCCUACGUUGCUACGUUUGAUUCUGUUUGUAGGUGUGGAAUUUUGCUGGAAUGUUUAUCCUUCCAACAACUUUUCAUCUGCACUACUUCUAUUUCUACAUUUAGUUAUCCUCUGGGGUCAAUGGUCUUCUCCAUCUAAGUAUCCUUACAAGGAUGAUCAACUGUCAACUAAAGAGAAGCACAGAUGAGGUGUCUUUAACCCCACCCGCCCACCAUCAUUUUCCUUUUUUUUUUUUUUAAUGUUUUGCAUUUUCUUCAGUAAUUAUCUUAAUUUUUUUUGUUUCUUCCUUCCUUUUCUUUUGUGUCUCGUGUUUUAAAAAAAAAAAUUACAGAUUUUUUUUUGGGUAGAAUUUCAGAUCUGCCAUUAGAAAAAAGAACUGCAUAUUAUUUUCUGCAAAAUUUUAGAUCGGCCAU